rnacentral:rRNA from 1 species
CAAUAGCGUAUAUUAAAGUUGUUGCAGUUAAAAAGCUCGUAGUUGGAUUUGUGGUGUACUUCGGCGGCCCGUCACUAUGUGAUGGAGCUUGCUGAAGUCGCCAUCCUUGGGUGGAUCCUGUGUGGCAUUAAGUUGUCGUGCAGGGGAUGCCCAUCGUUUACUGUGAAAAAAUUAGAGUGUUCAAAGCAGGCUUAUGCCGUUGAACAUAUUAGCAUGGAAUAAUAAGAUAGGACCUUGGUACUAUUUUGUUGGUUUGCGCACCAAGGUAAUGAUUAAUAGGGACAGUUGGGGGUAUUCGUAUUUCAUUGUCAGAGGUGAAAUUCUUGGAUUUUUGAAAGACGAACUACUGCGAAAGCAUUUACCAAGGAUGUUUUCAUUAA